rnacentral:rRNA from 1 species
GUCACACCAUGGGAGUUGUGUUUGCCUUAAGUCAGGAUGCUAAAUUGGCUACUGCCCACGGCACACACAGCGACUGGGGUGAAGUCGUAACAAGGUAACCGUAGGUGAACCUGCGGUUGGAUCACCUCCUUUCUAGA